UCUAUAUUAUUGUAUUAGAUUUUUAAUUUCAAUUAUUUUUUGUAGUCACAAUGGCCAUUCCGUGUUUACUGCCAAGAAACAUUACAGAAUUCAUUCCACCAGCUCAUGAACUGGGACCAAUUACGAACAUUUUGGAAAAACUUCACUAUAAGG